rnacentral:rRNA from 1 species
AUUGAACGCUGGCGGCAUGCCUUACACAUGCAAGUCGAACGGCAGCACGGGAGCAAUCCUGGUGGCGAGUGGCGAACGGGUGAGUAAUAUAUCGGAACGUGCCCAGUAGUGGGGGGAUAACCCGGCGAAAGUCGGACUAAUACCGCAUACGACCUACGGGUGAAAGCGGGGGAGUCGCAAGACCUCGCGCUAUCGGGAGCGGCCGAUAUCAGAUUAGCUUGUUGGUGGGGUAAAAGCCUACCAAGGCGACGAUCUGUAGCUGGUCUGAGAGGACGACCAGCCACACUGGGACUGAGACACGGCCCAGACUCCUACCGGGAGGCAGCAGUGGGGAAUUUUGCGCAAUGGGCGAAAGCCUGACGCAGCCACG